AUGCCGACCGAGCUGAAGCGCACCGUGGAGGAUGGUGAUGAUUCCACUUCCACCCGUCUUCGCCAGAAAAUCGUAGUUCCAGAAAAGCCGGUCUAUCUGGUGGUGGCGCACAAGGCGGAGCCAGCGUACUCCAUCCUCAGUGUUGGCACAAUGGCGCCUAAGAUCCCACUGCACCUUAGCCAACGCGGCAUGUCGUUCACUGCCAUGGAGUCGCCGCAGGGGUCCUGGAUCGUUGUCGUGGGCGGGGACGAGCAGAUUCACACCACCAUCUUCGAUGUCACGGCCUCCAAGGAGUGGCAGGGCCCGUGGCUCCAUACCAAUAAGAUGGAGCCCAUCCUGUUUCCACACCGCGACCAGCUCUACGUGCUCUCGAGCCACCCCUCCGUGAAGAGGGGGGCGAUGGGGCUCGACUACCUUCCCUGGUUUGAGCAGAUUAAGACUUCGAGGACGGCCGCCCUAACCAAGCCGAGCCCCGACAAGGCUGCCAGGAAAUACAGGAAAUACAUGGGAACCUGUGGGUACGACGUGGAGAAGAAGGUGUGGGAGAUGGUGCAUGAGAUGAAUCUUCCUUUCCUUGGCCAGGCGGUGCCCCACGGGGACCAACUCUUUCUUGCCCGCUCCAAAGAGAGGGACGGCGCUUAUGUAGUGUACUACAUGCAUGUCGGUCAGUCAACAUCUGGGACCAGCGAGCUGUCCAUUAUUGAGGUUCCGCUGGUGAUGCCAAAGGCCUGA
rnacentral:rRNA from 1 species